UGCAUAGCUCAGUCUGUUAGAGAGUGGUACUGAUAAUGCCAAGGUUGCAGGUUCGAUUCCCGUACGGGACAG